rnacentral:tRNA from 1 species
GGUUGUGGCUCAGUGGUAGAGUGCUUGCCUAGCACACGGGAGGCACUGGGUUCCACCCCCAGCACCA